rnacentral:rRNA from 1 species
CUACGGGGUGCUCCAGUGGGGAAUAUUGCACAAUGGGCGCAAGCCUGAUGCAGCCAUGCCGCGUGUAUGAAGAAGGCCUUCGGGUUGUAAAGUACUUUCAGCGGGGAGGAAGGGAGUAAAGUUAAUACCUUUGCUCAUUGACGUUACCCGCAGAAGAAGCACCGGCUAACUCCGUGCCAGCAGCCGCGGUAAUACGGAGGGUGCAAGCGUUAAUCGGAAUUACUGGGCGUAAAGCGCACGCAGGCGGGUUGUUAAGUCAGAUGUGAAAUCCCCGGGCUCAACCUGGGAACUGCAUCUGAUACUGGCAAGCUUGAGGCUCGUAGAGGGGGGUAGAAUUCCAGGUGUAGCGGUGAAAUGCGUAGAGAUCUGGAGGAAUACCGGUGGCGAAGGCGGCCCCCUGGACGAAGACUGACGCUCAGGUGCGAAAGCGUGGGGAGCAAACAGGAUUAGAUACCCCAGUAGUC